rnacentral:rRNA from 1 species
ACGGAAGGCAGCAGUGGGGAAUAUUGGGCAAUGGGCGCAAGCCUGACCCAGCAACGCCGCGUGAAGGAAGAAGGCUUUCGGGUUGUAAACUUCUUUUGUCAGGGAAGAGUAGAAGACUGUACCUGGCGAAUAAGCCACGGCUAACUACGUGCUAGCAGCCGCGGUAAUACGUAGGUGGCAAGCGUUGUCCGGAUUUACUGGGUGUAAAGGGCGUGUAGCCGGGUCGGUAAGUCAUAUGUGAAAUCCACGGGCUCAACUCGUGAACUGCAGUUGAAACUGCUUAUCUUGAGUAUCGGAGAGGCAAUCGGAAUUCCUUGUGUAGCGGUGAAAUGCGUAGAUAUAAGGAGGAACACCAGUGGCGAAGGCGGAUUGCUGGACAGUAACUGACGGUGAGGCGCGAAAGUGUGGGUAGCAAACAGGAUUAGAUACCCUGGUA